GAUGAACGCUAGCUACAGGCUUAACACAUGCAAGUCGAGGGGCAGCAUUUCAGUUUGCUUGCAAACUGGAGAUGGCGACCGGCGCACGGGUGAGUAACACGUAUCCAACCUGCCGAUAACUCGGGGAUAGCCUUUCGAAAGAAAGAUUAAUACCCGAUGGUAUAAUCAGACCGCAUGGUCUUGUUAUUAAAGAAUUUCGGUUAUCGAUGGGGAUGCGUUCCAUUAGGCAGUUGGUGAGGUAACGGCUCACCAAACCUUCGAUGGAUAGGGGUUCUGAGAGGAAGGUCCCCCACAUUGGAACUGAGACACGGUCCAAACUCCUACGGGAGGCAGCAGUGAGGAAUAUUGGUCAAUGGGCGCAGGCCUGAACCAGCCAAGUAGCGUGAAGGAUGACUGCCCUAUGGGUUGUAAACUUCUUUUAUAUGGGAAUAAAGUUUUCCACGUGUGGAAUUUUGUAUGUACCAUAUGAAUAAGGAUCGGCUAACUCCGUGCCAGCAGCCGCGGUAAUACGGAGGAUCCGAGCGUUAUCCGGAUUUAUUGGGUUUAAAGGGAGCGUAGGUGGACAGUUAAGUCAGUUGUGAAAGUUUGCGGCUCAACCGUAAAAUUGCAGUUGAUACUGGCUGUCUUGAGUACAGUAGAGGUGGGCGGAACUCGUGGUGUAGCGGUGAAAUGCUUAGAUAUCACGAAGAACUCCGAUUGCGAAGGCAGCUCACUGGACUGCAACUGACACUGAUGCUCGAAAGUGUGNGUAUNCAACAGG
rnacentral:rRNA from 1 species